GCCCCUGUAGCUCAAUGGAUAGAGCCACGGCCUUCUAAUCCGUCGGUUGCCCGUUCGAGUCGGGUCGGGGGCA
rfam:Bifidobacterium reuteri DSM 23975 Contig02, whole genome shotgun sequence.